AGUUGGCGGGGUAACGGCCCACCAAGACGAUGAUGCGUAGCCGAUCUGAGAGGACGGACGGCCACAUUGGGACUGAGACACGGCCCAGACUCCUACGGGAGGCAGCAGUAGGGAAUUUUCGGCAAUGGGCGAAAGCCUGACCGAGCAACGCCGCGUGAGUGAUGACGGCUCUAUGGGUUGUAAAGCUCUGUGGUUGGGAACGAACGGUACUUAUAGGAAAUGAUAAGUAAUUGACGGUACCCAUCUAGAAAGCUCCGGCUAACUACGUGCCAUCAGCCGCGGUAAUACGUAGGGAGCGAGCGUUAUCCGGAUUUAUUGGGCGUAAAGGGUGCGCAGGCGGCGGAUUAAGUCCGGGUUGAAAUUGCUGAGCUUAACUCAGUACUGGCUUGGAAACUGGUCUGCUAGAGUGCGGUAGAGGUUAGCGGAAUUCCAUGUGUAGCGGUAAAAUGCGUAGAUAUAUGGAGGAACACCGGUGGCGAAGGCGGCUAACUGGGCCGUAACUGACGCUGAUGCACGAAAGCGUGGGGAGCAAAUAGGAUUAGAUACCCUAGUAGUCCACGCUGUAAACGAUGAAUACUAAGUGCCGGGGAACUCGGUGCUGCAGCUAACGCAUUAAGUAUUCCGCCUGGGGAGUAUGCACGCAAGUGUAAAACUCAAAGGAAUUGACGGGGACCCGCACAAGCGGUGGAUUAUGUGGUUUAAUUCGAUGCAACGCGAAGAACCUUACCAAGCCUUGACAUCCCGGGCAAAACUAUAGAGAUAUAGCGGAGGUCAUCCCGGUGACAGGUGGUGCAUGGUUGUCGUCAGCUCGUGUCGUGAGAUGUUGGGUUAAGUCCCGCAACGAGCGCAACCCUUGUCUUUCAGUUACCAUCAUUAAGUUGGGGACUCUGAAGAGACUGCCGGUGACAAACCGGAGGAAGGUGGGGAUGACGUCAAAUCAGCAUGCCCCUUAUGGCUUGGGCUACACACGUAAUACAAUGGCGUAUACAAAGUGCUGCAAU
rnacentral:rRNA from 1 species